rnacentral:rRNA from 1 species
AACGAACGCUGGCGGCAGGCUUAACACAUGCAAGUCGAACGCCCCUUUCGGGGGGAGUGGCAGACGGGUGAGUAACGCGUGGGAACGUGCCCUUCAGUUUGGAAUAACCCAGGGAAACUUGGGCUAAUACCGGAUACGCCCUUCGGGGGAAAGAUUUAUCGCUGAAGGAUCGGCCCGCGUCUGAUUAGCUGAUUGGUGAGGUAAUGGCUCACCAAGGCGACGAUCAGUAGCUGGUCUGAGAGGAUGAUCAGCCACAUUGGGACUGAGACACGGCCCAAACUCCUACGGGAGGCAGCAGUGGGGAAUAUUGGACAAUGGGCGCAAGCCUGAUCCAGCCAUGCCGCGUGAGUGAUGACGGCCUUAGGGUUGUAAAGCUCUUUCGCACGCGACGAUAAUGACGGUAGCGUGAGAAGAAGCCCCGGCUAACUUCGUGCCAGCAGCCGCAGUAACAC